rnacentral:rRNA from 1 species
GAUGAACGCUGGCGGCGUGCCUAAUAUAUGCAAGUCGAGCGAAUGGAUUAAGAGCUUGCCCUAUGAAGUUAGCGGCGGACGGGUGAGAAACACGUGGGUAACCUGCCCAUAAGACUGGGAUAACUCCGGGAAACCGGGGCGAAUACCGGAUAACUUUUUGAACCGCAUGGUUCGAAAUUGAACGGUGGCUUCGGCUGUCACUUAUGGGUGGACCCGCAUCGCAUUAGCUAGUUGGUGAGGUAACGGCUCACCAAGGCAACGAUGCGUAGCCGACCUGAGAGGGUGAUCGGCCACACUGGGACUGAGACACGGCCCAGACUCCUACGGGGGGCAGCAGUAGGGAAUCUUCCGCAAUGGACGAAAGUCUGACGGAGCAACGCCGCGUGAGUGAUGAAGGCUUUCGGGUCGUAAAACUCUGUUGUUAGGGAAGAACAAGUGCUAGUUGAAUAAGCUGGCACCUUGACGGUACCUAACCAGAAAGCCACGGCUAACUACGUGCCAGCCGCCGCCGUAA